rnacentral:rRNA from 1 species
GACGAACGCUGGCGGCGUGCUUAACACAUGCAAGUCGAACGGAAAGGCCCUGCUUUUGUGGGGUGCUCGAGUGGCGAACGGGUGAGUAACACGUGAGUAACCUGCCCCUGACUUUGGGAUAACUUCAGGAAACUGGGGCUAAUACCGGAUAGGAGCUCCUGCUGCAUGGUGGGGGUUGGAAAGUUUCGGCGGUUGGGGAUGGACUCGCGGCUUAUCAGCUUGUUGGUGGGGUAGUGGCUUACCAAGGCUUUGACGGGUAGCCGGCCUGAGAGGGUGACCGGCCACAUUGGGACUGAGAUACGGCCCAGACUCCUACGGGAGGCAGCGGUGGGGAAUAUUGCACAAUGGGCGGAAGCCUGAUGCAGCAACGCCGCGUGCGGGAUGACGGCCUUCGGGUUGUAAACCGCUUUCGCCUGUGACGAAGCGUGAGUGACGGUAAUGGGUAAAGAAGCACCGGCUAACUACGUG